AUUGAACGUUGGCGGCAGGCCUAAUACAUGCAAGUCGAACGGCAGCACAGAGAGCUUGCUCUUGGGUGGCGAGUGGUGGACGGGUGAGUAACGCGUGGGAACGUGCCCUUUGGUACGGAAUAGCCCCGGGAAACUGGGAGUAAUACCGUAUGGUGUCUUCGGACUAAAGAUUUAUCGCCAAAGGAUCGGCCCGCGUUGGAUUAGGUAGUUGGUGGGGUAAUGGCCUACCAAGCCGACGAUCCAUAGCUGGUUUGAGAGGAUGAUCAGCCACACUGGGACUGAGACACGGCCCAGACUCCUACGGGAGGCAGCAGUGGGGAAUUUUGGACAAUGGGCGCAAGCCUGAUCCAGCAAUGCCGCGUGAGUGAAGAAGGCCUCGGUUGUAAGACGUCUUUCUAGUCGAGAAGAAAAGGAACGU
rnacentral:rRNA from 1 species